CUAUGAUUUUUAAUUAAAGUUAGAUUAUGAUUUUCCAUAUUUUCAGUACCAAAUGAGAGACGAAAAAGCAUUCUCGUUGAACUUCCGAGAUAGAGAUUUUCCACAUCUCUUUCUCUCUGAAAAAGAAUUUUCGGUGAAAAGGAAGGGACGAAAAUAUCAACAAUACACGGUUCAUCGAAAACCACGAUAGAUACAAUACGGUAGCGCGACUUAUGAGAAAGGCCUUUCAGCCAUCUUGGAUUUUGUAUGUAAACAAUCUGCAAUAUUUUGCAAUAUCUUUUUUUUGCUCUUUGUGUGAGGUAUUGUUUUGGUGGGAAUAAGAGCAUUGAAAAAUUGAAAGCUCAAGAGAAUAAAUCGACUUUCGGUGUCGGUCGGAGAUGGAGGUAUUUUUCCCAUGUUUUGCAGUUAGAGACGUCGGUUAAUCGUUCGAUUAAUUCAAAUAAUCGAAUAUCUGUAUCAGUAAUUUUAUAUCAAAUAAUGAAAAAUCAAGAAAAUACAGUGCAAAAUUUGCUUAACCGUCAUGGUGUUUCGUCGAAAUUCAUAGAAUAUGCUAAGUCAUUUACGGUAGAAGCUUGAUUCCUAGGUGGUGGAGGAGACUGGGAAGAAGAAUUCAGGGUCUGCAGGAGUAAAAUGCGGACUUGAAGAAGGUGGUCUCAGCUCCCGUUCUAAAAUAGUAGUAUUCAAAUUCAGAGCGCCGAGGAAAAUAUACCAUACUAGUGAUCAAUGAUUCUAUGACCAAGCAGAGAUAUUCAAACAAAUCAGCUAUUUCAACAAACAACAUUCGAAGAACAGAUAAUUUCGAACAGCCAAAAUUUUGGUUGGUGCAAAAAAAAAUGCAUGUCGGACUGGACUAAUAUCGACAGACUCGAUAAUAUGUGAUUCGAUUAUAUACAAUUUUGAACUCGAUUAUAUACAGUUUGGAAAAAAAUAUUUUUUUUAUAUUUUAAGUAUGACUUAUUUCAAGAAGGAAGGUAACCUUUUAACGAUAAGGUGAAAUUUAAGUGGCUAUUACAUGUACAGUGGGGUGAAAAUCGUCAUUUUUGAAGAUUUUGCUUGAGUUUUCACCAGUUAUAACGUUAUAUCGUUAUUGCAGCCAAAUUAAUAAAGCAGAAGUUGGGUGUCAAAAAACAAAUUUUAAAGCGGUUAGAGAGCUUUAAUUUAAUUGAUAGAAAUGAUCUAGUUCAAUAUAAAUUUUCAGGAUAAAAUUAAUAAUAACACAUUAAAUAUUAUUAACUUUCAAGUUUUCCACUUCCAAAAUUUUCUCAUAUUUCAAAUGAAAGCAACAGAAUCGUCUUCCGUAGCGUAGUUUUUAAAGUAGAGCCAGUUUGAGGCAACAAGUCCGAAACAAAAAAAAUAGUUCUAUAACUAUUUCAUUGUUGAAAUUGGAACAUAUGCGUAGAAGGAUUUUUAUUCAUCAAAUAUGAUCGUCUAUUACCUCCUGAAAGAAUCUGGAUAAAUAUAUUUUUUUCAUGCGGGAAAGGUAUUUUCUGACUUUGAGGGGGUGAAUCAAAAAUCAAAUUCCUGUUUUACAUUCAAGAAAUGAAAAAAACAUACAAAAA